rnacentral:rRNA from 1 species
UACGUAGGGUGCAAGCGGUAAUCGGAAUUACUGGGCGUAAAGCGUGCGCAGGCGGUUCUAUAAGACAGAUGUGAAAUCCCCGGGCUCAACCUGGGAACUGCAUUUGUGACUGUAGAGCUGGAGUGCGGCAGAGGGGGAUGGAAUUCCGCGUGUAGCAGUGAAAUGCGUAGAUAUGCGGAGGACCCCCGAUGGCGAAGGCAAUCCCCUGGGCCUGCACUGACGCUCAUGCACGAAAUCGUGGGGAGCAAACAGG